CCGAUAUAUCGAUGAUAUUUUAUUGAUUUGGAGGGGAGAAGAAAGUGACCUAGUCUCCUUUUUAGAAUUUCUAAAUACCAAUUAUUGGGGCAUCAGGCUAAGUAGUACUUGGAGUAAAGAAAUAGUAACCUUUUUAGAUCUUGAUAUUUUUAUUGAAGAAGGUAAAAUUAAAACUAAAAAUCAUUUUAAAAAAGUUGAUUGUAAUAGUUUUAUAGAGAGCAUAAGCUGCC